UCAGGAUGAACGCUGGCGGCGUGCCUAAUACAUGCAAGUCGAGCGAACAGACGAGGAGCUUGCUCCUCUGACGUUAGCGGCGGACGGGUGAGUAACACGUGGGUAACCUACCUAUAAGACUGGGAUAACUCCGGGAAACCGGAGCUAAUACCGGAUAAUAUUUUGAACCGCAUGGUUCAAAAGUGAAAGAUGGUUUUGCUAUCACUUAUAGAUGGACCCGCGCCGUAUUAGCUAGUUGGUAAGGUAACGGCUUACCAAGGCGACGAUACGUAGCCGACCUGAGAGGGUGAUCGGCCACACUGGAACUGAGACACGGUCCAGACUCCUACGGGAGGCAGCAGUAGGGAAUCUUCCGCAAUGGGCGAAAGCCUGACGGAGCAACGCCGCGUGAGUGAUGAAGGUCUUCGGAUCGUAAAACUCUGUUAUUAGGGAAGAACAUACGUGUAAGUAACUGUGCACGUCUUGACGGUACCUAAUCAGAAAGCCACGGCUAACUACGUGCCAGCAGCCGCGGUAAUACGUAGGU
rnacentral:rRNA from 2 species